ACGCUCGACACCUACGGUAGGCAGCAGUGGGGAAUAUUGCACAAUGGGGGAAACCCUGAUGCAGCGACGCCGCGUGAGUGAAGAAGUAAUUCGUUAUGUAAAGCUCUAUCAGCAGGGAAGAAAGUGACGGUACCUGAGUAAGAAGCCCCGGCUAACUACGUGCCAGCAGCCGCGGUAAUCUGAGCGGGCUGGCAAGGC
rnacentral:rRNA from 1 species